rnacentral:rRNA from 1 species
AAAGGGAAAGCCUUUUUUGUUUCCAGGGGGGUGGGGGGGUAAGCCUUCACAAAGCAAAUGCCCCCUAGUUUGUUGGAGAGGAUUAUCACCCCCCUGGGAAAUGAACCCCGGUCCCAACUUCCUACGGGGAGCCACCAGUGGGGAAUUUUGCCCAAUGGAGGAAAUUUUGAAGCAGCAACGCCGCGUGGGAGGAUGACGCAUUUCGGUGUGUAAACUCCUUUUUAUAUGGGAAGAUAAUGACGGUCCCAUAUGAAUAAGCACCGGCUAACUCCGUGCCAGCAGCCGCGGUAAUACGGAGGGUGCAAGCGUUACUCGGAAUCACUGGGCGUAAAGCGCGCGCAGGCGGCCUGAUAAGUUGGAUGUGAAAGCCUACGGCUCAACCGUAGAACUGCAUCCAAAACUGUCAGGCUAGAGUGUGGGAGAGGAAGAUGGAAUUAGUUGUGUAGGGGUAAAAUCCGUAGAGAUAACUAGGAAUACCAAAAGCGAAGGCAAUCUUCUGGAACACUACUGACGCUGAGGCGCGAAAGCGUGGGGAGCAAACGGGAUUAGAUACCCCGGUAGUCCACGCAGUAAACGAUGAAUGUUAGUCGUCGGGUAGCUAGUCUAUUCGGUGAUGCAGCUAACGCAUUAAACAUUCCGCCUGGGGAGUACGGUCGCAAGAUUAAAACUCAAAGGAAUAGACGGGGACCCGCACAAGUGGUGGAGCAUGUGGUUUAAUUCGAAGAUACGCGAAGAACCUUACCUAGCCUUGACAUAUAUUAGAAUCUUUCAGAGAUGAGAGAGUGCCUUCGGGAGCUUUUAUACAGGUGCUGCACGGCUGUCGUCAGCUCGUGUCGUGAGAUGUUGGGUUAAGUCCCGCAACGAGCGCAACCCUCGUCACUAGUUACUAACGGUUCGGCCGAGGACUCUAGUGAGACUGCCUUCGCAAGGAGGAGGAAGGUGAGGACGACGUCAAGUCAUCAUGGCCCUUACGGCUAGGGCAACACACGUGCUACAAUGGUUGGGACAAUGAGACGCGAUACCGCGAGGUGGAGCAAAUCUAUAAACCCAAUCUCAGUUCGGAUUGUUCUCUGCAACUCGAGAGCAUGAAGCUGGAAUCACUAGUAAUCGUAGAUCAGCUAUGCUACGGUGAAUACGUUCCCGGGUCUUGUACUCACCGCCCGUCACACCAUGGGAGUUGAUUUCACCCGAAGCGGGGAAGCUAAACUGGCUACCCUCCACGGUGGAAUUAGCGACUGGGGUGAAGUCGUAACAAGGUACC